AAGAGUAAGGGUGCUCAGCGCCCGACCUCCAACCCUUUGUUGUUAAAACUACCUUGUUGCUUUGGCGGGACCGCCCGGUCUCGAGCCGCUGGGGAUUCGUCCCAGGCGAGCGCCCGCCAGAGUUAAACCAAACUCUUGUUAUUUAACCGGUCGUCUGAGUAAAAAUUUUGAAUAAAUCA
rnacentral:misc_RNA from 1 species